CCCCGCGUCGUCUCUAUGGCGGCCGAACAGCAGUCCCGGCCGCAGAGCGGGAUGAGCGCGCGCGGAGGCGCGGGGCUGACGGCGCGGUCCCGGGAGGGCAGUCCCGGAGCGGGCGGCUUCGCCCCGUCGGCGCUCGGGACCCGAGAGCAUUGGGAUGCUGUGUAUGAGCGAGAACUGCACACUUUCCAAGAAUAUGGAGACACAGGAGAAAUCUGGUUUGGGGAGGAGAGUGUGAAUCGACUCCUAAGGUGGAUGCAGAGACACAAGAUCCCCUUGGAUGCUGCGGUGCUGGAUAUUGGAACCGGAAAUGGUGUCCUCCUGGUUGAGCUUGCAAAACUCGGUUUCUCUAACAUUACUGGCAUUGAUUACUCGCCUUCUGCAAUACAGCUUUCCGGAAGUAUUAUAGAGAAAGAAGGGUUAUCUAACAUUACGUUGAAGGUAGAAGACUUUCUGAAUCUUCCCACAGAGCUGUCUGGGUUUCACGUUUGUAUUGACAAAGGGACUUUUGAUGCCAUAAGCCUGAAUCCUGACAAUGCAAUUGAGAAGAGGAAGCAGUAUGUGAACUCUCUCUCCAGGGUCUUGAAAGUGAACGGCUUUUUUCUAAUAACCUCCUGUAAUUGGACCAAGGAGGAGCUGCUGAACGAAUUCUGUGAAGGAUUUGAACUCUUCGAAGUGUUGCCAACACCCAAGUUCAGCUUUGGAGGCCGAUCUGGAAACAGUGUGGCUGCAUUGGUUUUCCAAAAAACGUGAGACUUUUCUCCGGACGAACGCAGAGAGCUUUUAAAGAAGCCCCACAUCAAAGUAAUGCUGGCAGAAAAUGCAGGUGCAGCUAACUGCUCAGUCUGGAUGCCAAGUCAUUGUUUGCAGCGACAUCAAAAAAGGAACCGCACGCAGGUCCCAGUGGCGGCACAGGUUCGAUGACAGCAGUGGAGUUGGGUUUGGUCUCUUACCGGCGGCGCCUGGGAGCAGCGGGCUCAGGCUUUCGCGGUCGGUCCCACCUUGCGUCUACGUUUGACUUCCUUGAGCUCUUCCUCCAGUGAGCUGCAGGCGUGACAUUUGCUAUGUUUUCAGCACCUGCCAACUUGGAAGCCGGAGUUUGUGCUCAGGACGUGGGCUUACAACCCCACUUUGUGGCACACAAUGCCGGCCCAGCUGGCAUCUCCCUGCCUCAAUGGCGCUGGACGUUUGUGACAAAGCCGCGCAGAUUCACACGCGCUGAUUCAGUAGCGGGCCCCUCAAGCUGCUCUCGACUCCCAUUCUGUGUCAGAGGAGUUAGAUUGGGAUCAUUAAACUUAGCUGUGGAUUUUCGUUAAAUUCAGUGAAAAUAAAUUUGUUUUAUUUGGUUCUUGAAUCAAAAUAA